rnacentral:rRNA from 1 species
UGGGGGAUAUUGCACAAUGGGGGAAACCCUGAUGCAGCGACGCCGCGUGUAGGAAGACGGUCCUCUGGAUUGUAAACUACUGUCUUCGGGGACGAUAAUGACGGUACCCGAGGAGGAAGCUCCGGCUAACUACGUGCCAGCAGCCGCGGUAAUACGUAGGGGGCAAGCGUUAUCCGGAAUUACUGGGUGUAAAGGGCGUGUAGGCGGGUAAACAAGUCAGAUGUGAAAUACCGAGGCUCAACUUAGGGGCUGCCGUUGAUACUGCAUAGCUGGAAUAUGGUUGCUGUUGGCGGAAUGUGUAGUGUAGCGGUGAAAUGCAUAGAUAUUACACAGAACACCGAUUGCGAAGGCAGCUGACAAAACCAUAAUUGACGCUGAUGCACGAAAGUGUGGGGAUCAAACA